UGCGUAGGCGGCUCUUUAAGUCAGUGGUGAAAUCUUGCCGCUUAACGGUAAAAUUGCCAUUGAUACUGAAGAGCUUGAGUACAGUUGAGGUAAGCGGAAUGUGUAGUGUAGCGGUGAAAUGCUUAGAUAUUACACAGAACACCAAUUGCGAAGGCAGCUUACUAAACUGUUACUGACGCUGAUGCACGAAAGCGUGGGGAGCGAACAGGAUUAGAUACCCUGGUAGUCCACGCCGUAAACGAUGCUCACUCGCUGUUUGCGAUACACAGCAAGCGGCCAAGCGAAAGCAUUAAGUGAGCCACCUGGGAGUACGAUCGCAAGGUUGAA
rnacentral:rRNA from 1 species